UUCCACCUGGCAAGGGCCUCCAGUAAGUGAAGUACUCCCACCCUCGGAGUAAGAACUCUUCUUCCUCCUGUCCGACCGAGGCAGGGACCGCAAAGGACCUACAGACUCCAUCUCCUCUGUCAGCUGCAGGGCAACCUUGGGGUGCUGUCCUGACCAAGGCUGUCUCUAACCCUCCUCUCCUACCCUGUGAUAAAACUGCUAACUUGACCUGGCCGUUUGCAAGAUGCUUUGUAAAAAGGAGAAUGCCACGGAGCCGUUGGUUGUUGAGAAGAAACAAAGAUUGUCUGUUGCGAAGAUAAACCUCUAGGAGGAACUAGAAGGAAUGUACAUGAAG
rnacentral:lncRNA from 1 species